rnacentral:misc_RNA from 1 species
CCGUCAAUUCCUUUGAGUUUCAUACUUGCGUACGUACUUCCCAGGCGGCAGACUUAACGGCUUCCCUGCGGCACUGCAUUGGCCACAAGCCAAUGCAUCACCGAGUCUGCAUCGUUUACAGCUGGGACUACCCGGGUAUCUAAUCCGGUUUGCUCCCCCAGCUUUCAUCCCUCACCGUCGAACGUGUUCUGGUACACCGCCUUCGCCACAGGUGGUCAUCAAUAGAUCAAAGGAUUUUACCCCUUCCUAUCGAGUACCGUGUACCUCUCCCACUCCCUAGCUGCACAGUAUUUUCGGCGGCCUAUACGUUAAGCGCAUAGAUUUAACCGAAAACUUAUGCAACCGGCUACGGAUGCUUUAGGCCCAAUAAACCUCCUGACCACUCGAGGUGCUGGUUUUA